GUGGGGAAUCUUGCGCAAUGGGGGAAACCCUGACGCAGCGACGCCGCGUGGAGGAUGAAGGUCUUCGGGUUGUAAACUCCUUUUCUUGGGGAAAAUGGUGAUGGUACCCAAGGAAUAAGCCACGGCUAACUCUGUGCCAGCAGCCGCGGUAAGACAGAGGUGGCGAGCGUUGUUCGGAAUUACUGGGCUUAAAGGGCGAGUAGGCGUCCCGGUAAGUCAGAUGUGGAAUCUUUUCGCUUAACGAAAAAAUUGCAUCUGAAACUAUCGGGAUUGAGUCAGUGAGGGGAGGGCGGAAUUCCUGGUGUAGCGGUGAAAUGCGUAGAUAUCAGGAGGAAGGCCUGUGGCGAAGGCGGCCCUCUGGCACUGUACUGACGCUGAGGCGCGAAAGCGUGGGGAGCAAACAGGAUUAGAAACCCUAGUAGUCC
rnacentral:rRNA from 1 species